rnacentral:misc_RNA from 1 species
GAUGAAGAACGUAGCGAAAUGCGAUAAGUAAUGUGAAUUGCAGAAUUCAGUGAAUCAUCGAAUCUUUGAACGCACAUUGCGCCCCCUGGUAUUCCGGGGGGCAUGCCUGUUCGAGCGUCAUUUCACCACUCAAGCCUCGCUUGGUAUUGGGCAACGCGGUCCGCCGCGUGCCUCAAAUCGACCGGCUGGGUCUUCUGUCCCCUAAGCGUUGUGGAAACUAUUCGCUAAAGGGUGCUCGGGAGGCUACGCCGUAAAACAAACCCAUUUCUAAGGUUGACCUCGGAUCAGGUAGGGAUACCCGCUUAACUUAAGCAUAUCAAUAAGCGGAGGA